rnacentral:rRNA from 1 species
CAGCAGCCGCGGUAACACGUAGGUGGCAAGCGUUGUCCGGAAUUAUUGGGCGUAAAGCGCGCGCAGGUGGUUUAAUAAGUCUGAUGUGAAAGCCCACGGCUCAACCGUGGAGGGUCAUUGGAAACUGUUAAACUUGAGUGCAGGAGAGAAAAGUGGAAUUCCUAGUGUAGCGGUGAAAUGCGUAGAGAUUAGGAGGAACACCAGUGGCGAAGGCGGCUUUUUGGCCUGUAACUGACACUGAGGCGCGAAAGCGUGGGGAGCAAACAGGAUUAGAUACCCCCGUAGUCCCUGUCUCUUAUAC